CCGAGUUAUCCAACUCCCAACCCCUGUGAAUUAUACCUUUAAUUGUUGCUUCGGCGGGGACUUCGCGCCCGCCGGGGACCCAAACCUUCUGAAUUUUUUAAUAAGUAUCUUCUGAGUGGUUAAAAAAAUGAAUCAU
rnacentral:misc_RNA from 1 species